AGUGGCCUAGUGGUUCAAACAACCGUCUGAUAAUCCAGAGGUUGCGGGUUCGAGCCC
rnacentral:tRNA from 11 species